AGUGAACGCUGGCGGUAGGCCUAACACAUGCAAGUCGAACGGCAGCACAGUAAGAGCUUGCUCUUACGGGUGGCGAGUGGCGGACGGGUGAGGAAUACAUCGGAAUCUACUUUUUCGUGGGGGAUAACGUAGGGAAACUUACGCUAAUACCGCAUACGACCUACGGGUGAAAGCAGGGGAUCUUCGGACCUUGCGCGAUUGAAUGGGCCGAUGUCGGAUUAGCUAGUUGGCGGGGUAAAGGCCCACCAAGGCGACGAUCCGUAGCUGGUCUGAGAGGAUGAUCAGCCACACUGGAACUGAGACACGGUCCAGACCCCUACGGGAGGCAGCAGUGGGGAAUAUUGGACAAUGGGCGCAAGCCUGAUCCAGCCAUACCGCGUGGGUGAAGAAGGCCUUCGGGUUGUAAAGCCCUUUUGUUGGGAAAGAAAAGCAGCAGGUUAAUACCCCGCUGUUCUGACGGUACCCAAAGAAUAAGCACCGGCUAACUUCGAG
rnacentral:rRNA from 1 species